AGAGUUUGAUCCUGGCUCAGGACGAACGCUGGCGGCGUGCUUAACACAUGCAAGUCGAACGGUAAGGCCCUUUCGGGGGUACACGAGUGGCGAACGGGUGAGUAACACGUGGGUGAUCUGCCCUGCACUUUGGGAUAAGCCUGGGAAACUGGGUCUAAUACCGAAUACACCUUGCUGGUCGCAUGGCCUGGUGGGGGAAAGCUUUUGCGGUGUGGGAUGGGCCCGCGGCCUAUCAGCUUGUUGGUGGGGUGAUGGCCUACCAAGGCGACGACGGGUAGCCGGCCUGAGAGGGUGUCCGGCCACACUGGGACUGAGAUACGGCCCAGACUCCUACGGGAGGCAGCAGUGGGGAAUAUUGCACAAUGGGCGCAAGCCUGAUGCAGCGACGCCGCGUGAGGGAUGACGGCCUUCGGGUUGUAAACCUCUUUCAGUACCGACGAAGCGGAAGUGACGGUAGGUACAGAAGAAGCACCGGCCAACUACGUGCCAGCCGCCGCGGUAAUAC
rnacentral:rRNA from 1 species